rnacentral:rRNA from 1 species
CCCUUAGAUGUUCUGGGCCGCACGCGCGCUACAAUGAUGAAUUCAACGAGUUUAUAACCUUGGUUGAAAAGCCUGGGUAAUCUUUUGAACUUUCGUCGUGAUGGGGCUAGACCCUUGCAAUUAUUGGUCUCCAACGAGGAAUUCCUAGUAAACGCAAGUCAUCAGCUUGCAUUGAUUACGUCCCUGCCCUUUGUACACACCGCCCGUCGUUUCUUCCGACUGAUACUCAUUGUGAGUUGCAAGGACCCUUUAUUGGGAAAUUGCUGCAAAUGCUUUGUAUUGGAGGAAGAAAAAGUCGUAACA